CUUAUUUUUAGUGAUUGUUGAUGAUUAUAUGCUCGUGAUUGCCUCAAAUUUUGUGCUUGUUUCAUUUUCAGGCCCUGAAGGACUUAUUCACACAUCUGACCCCUAUACAACGUGUGAACAUGGCCCUGCACCCCAACAGACCUACAUUCCUUGAUCAUGUAUUUAGCAUUACCGAUAAGUUUGUGGAACUUCA